rnacentral:rRNA from 1 species
GAGACUCUGUGCGCGUGCAUAUCAAUAAGCGGAGGAAAAGAAACUAACAUAGGAUUCCCUCAGUAACGGCGAGUGAAGCGGGAAGAGCUCAAAUUUGAAAUCUUCAAGGUUCUACCUUGACGAAUUGUAGUUUAAAGAAGUGUUUUCUGUUGGAGUUUUGGUAAAAGUUCUUUGGAAUAGGGACAUCAUAGAGGGUGAGAAUCCCGUAUUUGACCAUUAUUUCCAGCUGUGUGAUACACUUUCAAAGAGUCGGAUUGUUUGGGAAUGCAGUCCAAAAUGGGUGGUAAAUUUCAUCUAAAGCUAAAUACUGGCGAGAGACCGAUAGCGAACAAGUACCGUGAGGGAAAGAUGAAAAGAACUUUGAAAAGAGAGUUAAACAGUACGUGAAAUUGUCAAAAGGGAAGCGUUUGACACCAGUGUUGUUUUCUCGAAAAUCAAUUAAAAAUGCUGGGAUUUUGUGUUGUAUCGACCUUUAAUCAGCUUUCUUCACUCUUUUCCUGUCUUUUUUAAUGCACUUUUCGUUUAACAAGUCAACAUCAGUUUCUUUUGUUGUAAAAGGGUCAUUGGAAGGUGGCUUUCUUUUCGGAGAAAGUGUUUAUAGCCUUUGCUCUCUGCAAUCGGAGAGAUUGAGGUCUGCAGCGUAGAUCCCUUCGGGGUUAGAUGCAUUUGUGCUAAGCUAUAGCCUUUCAUAGACAACUUGUUGACUAUGAUCAGUCAUGUAGCUUACUCGCUUAUGUCAUUUUACCUACGCUUAGGAUGUUGACAGCAGUAUAGACUGU